CUUAAUUCACGGCCAAGAAAAAAUAAUCACAUAUUUACAAAAAAAGAAAACCAAUAAAUAUCAACACUAAUAUUUUUCCUAUCCUAUUUUUCCAACACACAAAAAAUAAAAAACAAUCUUCGUCUUCCUCCUCUCCUCUCCUCACCACAACAAUGGCGUCUCUCCUCGCGAACGGCAUCUCCAGCUUCUCACCCCAACCCACCCCCGAUUCCUCCAAAUCCCCCAAAUCCUUCCACCCUAAACCCGACUCCUUCAAAUUCCCCUCCUCCUCGUCAAAAACCCUAAUUCCAACUCCGCGCCUCGUCAAAGCCAGAGCCGACGUCGGCACAAUCGAAUCCAAUCCAGCAGGUAACUCCUCCUCCUCCUCAACCGAUAAACUCCAACAGUACUUCCAAAACCUAGACUACGACAAAAAAUACGGAUUCGUGGAAGACAUCGACUCCUUCACAAUCCCCAAAGGCUUAUCCGAGGAAACCAUCCGCUCAAUCUCAACCCUCAAGGAAGAACCCGAUUGGAUGCUCGACUUCAGGUUCAAAGCCUACGCCAAGUUCCUCACCCUCAAGGAGCCUCAAUGGUCUGACAAUCGCUACCCUCCCAUCGACUUCAACAACAUGUGCUACUACUCCGCCCCCAAAAAGAAACCCACUCUCAACUCCUUAGACGAAGCCGACCCUCAGCUCCUCGAGUAUUUCGACAAGCUCGGCGUCCCCUUAACGGAACAGAAACGGUUAGCUAACGUCGCCGUUGACGCCGUUCUCGACAGCGUCUCCAUCGCCACCACUCAUAGGAAGACUCUAGAGAAGUCCGGCGUCAUCUUCUGCUCCAUCUCCGAGGCGAUCAGAGAGUAUCCUGAUCUGAUCAAGAAGUAUCUAGGGAGAGUCGUGCCGAUUGACGAUAACUACUACGCCGCUUUGAACUCAGCUGUGUUCAGCGACGGCUCGUUUUGCUAUAUCCCCAAGAACACGAGGUGUCCUAUGCCGAUUUCGACUUACUUCCGGAUCAACGCUAUGGAGACUGGUCAGUUCGAGAGGACGCUGAUUGUAGCGGAGGAAGGGAGCUUUGUGGAGUAUCUGGAAGGGUGUACUGCUCCUUCUUACGAUACCAAUCAGCUUCACGCUGCCGUUGUUGAGCUUUACUGUGGUGAAGGGGCUGAAAUUAAGUACUCCACCGUGCAGAACUGGUACGCUGGGGAUGAAGAAGGGAAAGGAGGGAUUUAUAAUUUCGUCACGAAGCGUGGUCUUUGCGCUGGGGACAGGUCCAAGAUCUCGUGGACUCAGGUGGAGACGGGGUCUGCCAUCACUUGGAAGUACCCGAGCGUGGUUCUGGAAGGUGAUGAUUCCGUGGGGGAGUUUUACUCUGUGGCGUUGACUAAUAACUACCAGCAGGCUGAUACGGGGACGAAGAUGAUUCACAAAGGGAAGAACACCAAGAGUAGGAUCAUUUCGAAGGGUAUCUCGGCUGGCAACUCGAGGAACUGUUACCGUGGUCUUGUUCAGGUUCAGUCCAAAGCUGAGAAUGCUAAGAACACUUCGGUUUGCGACUCUAUGCUUAUUGGUGAUAAAGCAGCUGCUAAUACUUAUCCUUACAUCCAGGUAUACAUUGUUUAUAUGAAUAUGAUCUAGUCUUUGUUAUAAGCUAUGUGAUAAAGUCUGAACUCUUGUGUUGUGGGUUUGGAACAAUUGACAGGUUAAGAAUCCAUCAGCGAAAGUUGAGCAUGAAGCGAGUACAUCAAAGAUUGGAGAAGAUCAGCUUUUCUAUUUCCAGCAGAGAGGAAUUGAUCAUGAGAGAGCGUUAGCUGCGAUGAUCUCAGGGUUCUGCAGAGAUGUCUUCAACAAGCUGCCUGAUGAGUUUGGAGCUGAAGUCAACCAGCUUAUGAGUAUUAAGCUUGAAGGAUCAGUGGGUUAGAAAACAUAACUCAAUUACAGAGCAGUUACGUUACAAAACAGUCUUUGUUGUGCUUCUCAAUAAAACUUUUCUUCUGGGUGUUUUACUAGUUUCAGUAUGUAAAACUUUGUAUUAUGUAAUGUUUUGAUAGCUUCAUGUGAACCAUAUGAAAGGUAUUGUUAAUAUUGUUACACUUGCUAAAAACAUGAAAACAAUAAUGUUCACAGAAGUGAUAUUGUAAUAAACUUUUGACGCACAAACUCAUUUUAUUCAAUUUGUGGGAUAUUUUUCUGACAAGUAUAAUCUUAAAAGCAGAGAAUUUUAGUGAUAAGAGAUUGCAUUUAUUCUAUAGAUUUUCCUUUGGUAUAUCUGGAACAAGCUUGGCUAUGAACACAUCAAAAGCCUAUUCACUGGCAAACAUCAGAAAUGUUCCUGCAAUUAUAUUGUUUUCCCUAAUUAGGAAUUGGAGCAAGAAAUUAAAGGAAUAAGCGAAGAGAGAGUACAUGCACUUAUAGAGGAAGAUGAAGAUGAUGCAUACAAAAGUUCUACGAGUUCAGGAUCUUAGGAACGAGUAUCCAUAUACUUUGGCCAAAUCCAAGCCAUCAAUCAACUCACUAUGGCCAUAUCAACAAACACUUAUUAAACUUGAUACAGCUAGCUUGAGGUCUGAUUCUUGAUUUAUUUUCUCUGUGUUUGUUAUAGCAAUGUUCUUGAUUUGCUGAAGCGGAACGAGGUUAGAUUGUCCAAGAAAGAUAUCCAUGUGGAGUAUCAUUUCGACGAGGUUGGAUUCUGUUUCUCUCCUUGGGUGUCUGGAAAAUGUGUUCAUGUAGUCAUCUAAGAUAACGUGGAGUCCCUCUAGUUAUGUGCAACGUUCACAUUCCAUGUUCUUGAAUAAUGUUCAAGCUGGAGACUGUAGCUAGUUACCUUCUCUUUUACUGUACUUUGUCUUCAGUGGUUUUCUGUUUUGGAUCAGGUAUUUUGGGCAAUCGCAGAGACAGAGCCAACCGACGUGAAGCUGGGGAUGGAUUUGUUAAGAUACAUAAAAGAGGAGCUUGGGUUUGUUCCUUCAAGAAAAAGUCUGGAUUUUCUCUUACAUGCUUGUGUUAAUGCCAAGGACAUGAAAAACGGUUUAUUGGUGUGGAAAGAGUACCAAUCUGCAGCACUUCCAUGCAACGUCCUUAGCUUUCUUAGGCAAGCCUCUCUUGUCCUCCUUUUAGCAAAUAUGCACGUCUAGAUUCGUAGUAAGAAGGAACAAACCAAAAGAUUAGAUCCAUUAGCACAAAAGAGUUCUGAAUUUAGCAAAGUGUUCAAAAUAAUGCAAUUGAUUAGAUCCUUUGUUCAUUGGUUAUGGUUUAUGGGUUUGGCAGGAUGUAUCAGGUUCUACUGGCUGCAGGGGAUUUGGAAGGUGCCAAGACAUUGGCAACAAAAAUUCCAAAAGAAGACAAAGAUGUACAGCAUGUCAUUGAAGAAAGCCAGAUUGUAUAUUCUCAGACACCAGAAAAGAAGAAAUCGAACAAGAAAAGGAUUGUCUUCCCAGGAAAAUAGGAAAGUAGUAUUGGCUGGUUUCAACACCCCUUGGUGUGAUUUUGUACAGAAGAGGGACUCAUACUCCAUUCUAAAGCACACAAGAUUGGUAGGCUCUGCACAAGUCUUGACAGUUGAAAAGAAAACGGAGUAAUAAUAUAGUUAUUUGUUUUGUUGUUGUUAGCUAAGGAACAUUCUUAUAAUUGCUUGCAACAACUUUUUGAUGAACCAAAUCACAACUUCUUGUACUUCUGAAUCUAAAACAUAAUUGUCGCCGAACCAAACCAUAUAGUUUCUGAAUCAGUUUGAAACACAAGAUUAAUCCUUUCACUCGGGUUUCUUCAUGUUCAGGCAAUUAUCUGCUGCUUGUCCAAAUAGCUCUUGGACUUGCUUUAGCUCUUUCUCUGUGAAGAAACAAGGUUAACACACUUUAGACCAGCUCAAUGUACGAAGCAUUUUGCAAAACAAAUUGGAGGAAAAUGAAAAAUGGAAAACUGAAACCACUGAAGAGAAUCUCCCUGCAAUGGUAAAUAACAACUUAAUCCUAGAGUGUUGUAGCAAGAAAGCAUACACAUUGAACAUGGAUCUGCUCCAUUUGAAGAGCAAAGUUGUCCAGAAAAAGUUUUUACCUGCAGCCUCUAAUUGCUUUUGGAGUUCUUGGCCAAUAAGAUCGUUCUCCACCUGAAAAAAAACACAGUAGAGAAGGAAACAGGCAAAGCCGGCCCCGUUAGUCUAAUAUAAAUACAUGAUUGUGGAAACAAGAUAAGUAACCUGUUUAACCUGGAGUUCUGCGAUUCUUUUGAGCUGAGCUUCUUCACCUCCUUCAGAUAAGGGAAGCGCCGCAACCAAAGCAUCAAACUUCACACAAAACAAGUACAAAAGUCAAGACCCAAGAAAUAGCAGAAUCAGAAUAGAAAUCAGAUCAGUAUCAAAUAGUUUCCGGCACCAAGACAUUAUCCAUCAUGCAGAUGACCUAAAUUCAUAUCAUAUUCGAAACUAAUGAGCUAAAGAUGACCAAGUUCCUCGAUUCUACACUGCUUUGUUGCUGCAUAUAUAGCAAAAAGGCCAUCUUGACUUUGCGAUUUAUCUAUAUAUCCUUAGUACAGAAGAACUCCAUAUAAACUUAGAAGGAUACGGGUAAAAAAUUGAAGAGAGAAAAAAACAAACCUGUUUAGCAGCCUUGACUAAAUCGGCACUGAGCUGCUUAGGUUGCUCAGGAAAAGCUGCGGUAGCAUCACCAUCAGUAGCCGUAGUUGUAGUUGUUGUAGUAGCAGCAGCGGCAGCGGCUGGUGGUUCAGGGUAGUUAGGAGAAAGCUGAACCGGAGGUGCAUCUCUUUGGAGUGUCCCAAAAGCAUUGAAAGUGAUUGCAGCUAUGGAGUUCACUUGUUCUUGCAACUGUGAUAUUAUAUCCAUCUUCUUCUAAAACCUUAAAGCAUGCAUGAACAUACAUACAUUCACACAAAGUAAGAUGUUACUUUCAGAUUGGUACUCAAUCUAUUAAUCAAGAUUCUAAAUUUCAAUCUUUACUUGCGUAUUGCGAAAUCCCAGUAGAAAAUUUGGAAAUUAAUCCAUUUAAGACAAUAACAUAAACAAAGUCCACAAACUAUUUGAGUUUCAGCUAAUCUCAAUAACCUUGUAGAAUUCAUUCAUCACAUUAGAGAGGAAGCGAUCUACUGAUUCUCCGACAAGGUUGACGGAGUAGAGGAUUCAAGGAAGAGACUUACCCGUCGACGGGAGUUUUCUCCGGCUAAGCAGAAGUCGACGACAGAAGAUCGCCGUGACUGGCCGGCCACUGGCGUUUUGAUAUUUUGUCUGGUUUAUUCUGCCUUCUGGAUUUUAUUACUUGACACGGGCUUUAACUGGGCCCUUUUGUCUUCAUAGUUACACAAUUCCUGUGUGUUUUAUGACAUUCAUUUGUGAUAUAAAUAAAUAAAAUGCUUUUGUUUCCAAGAUUUACAAUCAAAUAUUCCAUCUGUUUCGUAUUAAAUGCUGUUUUAGCUUUGAUUUUGUUUCAUUAUAACUGUCAUUUUAAUUUCCGAUGCAUAUUUUAAACAAGUUUUCCAAUUUUUAUUCUUAUUUUUAAUUCAUAAAUGAAUAAAACCAAACAAAAAAUUACAUUAAAUUAGGAUUUUUUAAGCAACCAUUAAAUUAGGAUAAAACAGAAAAUUUAAUAAUUUUUUCGAUUCAUAUGCAAAAACUUUAAAUGAUACUUAAAAUGAAAUGGAAAGAGUACGUUCGAAACGAGGAGUAAAAUAAUAUGAUGGCGGAUAAACUUACACAAAAUAUUUAUCUGAUUAAUCUUAUAAGAUUUUGCUAGAGGUGGGCACUUCGGUUAUUUUAUCGGUGAGUUCAGUUUAGUUUAGUUAAUUCGUUUCUAUAAUUUUUCCAACUGAAGUAAACCAUAAUUAGUUUGGUUUGGAUCGGUUUCGGUUCGGUUUAUGUUUCGAUUCGGUUUAAUCGGAUUCCCUUAAUUUAUUUUUUUUAGGAGACAUCAUAUUUUAAAACAUAUGGUCAUGAAAUCAUCAUAUUGGUGAAUAUGAAAAAAAAAUGUAAAACUACAUCUAAUUUAAAAUUUAAAAUAAAAACUUUAAAACACACAAAAAGUUUAUAAGAACAUAAUCAAAUCAAAAUUAACUAAAAUAAAUAGAAAAUUAAAAAACAUCAUUAAUAGUGCUUCUUAAAAAUAAACUAUGUAAAUUAAAUCUAAUAUAAAACUGAAAAAAAAUCUUUAAAAAUCACAAAAAAUUAUAAGAACACAAUCAAACUAAAGUUAACUAAAUUAAAUAGAAACCUAAAAACCCAACAUUGUUAAUAAAAUUAAUAGUGACUUUAGUGUUAGGGUUUUAGAAUUUUUUAUAUUGCUAGUAUGUUUUAAUUCAAAUAAUGACAAAAAACACACUGGCUUCUCGGUUCGGUUUAGCUCGGUUUGGUUCAGAUCGGUUUCGGUUUGGAUGUUUCGGGUUGGAAAAAUCUUAAACCAAACUAUUUGAUGAUAGACUAUGGUUCGGUUUGGAUCGGUUUCAGUUCGGUUGAUUCAAUUUUAUAGGUUCAGUUCGGUUUUUUUACCCGCCGAUAGAUUUUGAUUUUAAAAAAUUGAUUUUUUGGAGUUUUCUUUUUAUUUGUUUCCUACAUACUAUAUACAAAGUAAAAUAUAGUAUUUGAUUUUGCGAUUGUAUUUUUAUUGGUUAACCUAUAUUUUUCAAAUACUAAAUGAUUUUUAAUGUAAAGUAUAAAAUAAAAUAAUAUGUUAAAUAUACUUAUAAGCUUUUCUUUCUUCUUUUAAUUUCAUUUAUUAGUUUGUGAGGGAAAAAAGAAUGUGGCUCAUAAUCGAGCUAAAAAGGCCAAGUAACAAACGCUCCCCGUGGUGGACACGAGACUAUCCUUAAUUCACGGCCAAGAAAAAAUAAUCACAUAUUUACAAAAAAAGAAAACCAAUAAAUAUCAACACUAAUAUUUUUCCUAUCCUAUUUUUCCAACACACAAAAAAUAAAAAACAAUCUUCGUCUUCCUCCUCUCCUCUCCUCACCACAACAAUGGCGUCUCUCCUCGCGAACGGCAUCUCCAGCUUCUCACCCCAACCCACCCCCGAUUCCUCCAAAUCCCCCAAAUCCUUCCACCCUAAACCCGACUCCUUCAAAUUCCCCUCCUC
rnacentral:lncRNA from 1 species